rnacentral:rRNA from 1 species
UACGUAGGGGGCGAGCGUUGUCCGGAGUUACUGGGCGUAAAGGGCGUGCAGGCGGUGCGGUAAGUUUAGCGUGACAGUCUCCGGCUUAACUGGAGAAGGCCGCUGAAAACUGCUGGACUUGAGGGCCAGAGAGGGACAUAGAAUUCCGGGUGGAGUGGUGAAUGCGUAGAUAUCCGGAGGAAUACCAAAGGCGAAGGCAGUGUCCUGGCUGGCAACUGACGCUGAGGCGCGAAAGCUAGGGGAGCGAACAGG